rnacentral:rRNA from 1 species
GAUGAACGCUAGCGGCAGGCUUAAUACAUGCAAGUCGAGGGGCAGCAUGACUGUAGCAAUACAGUUGAUGGCGACCGGCAAACGGGUGCGGAACACGUACAGAACCUUCCUUCGAGCGGGGAAUAGCCCAGAGAAAUUUGGAUUAAUACCCCAUAGUAUAUUUGAGUGGCAUCAAUUUGAUAUUAAAGAUUUAUCACUUGAAGAUGGCGGUGUGGCUGAUUAGAUAGUUGGCGGGGUAACGGCCCACCAAGUCUGCGAUCAGUAACUGGUGUGAGAGCACGACCAGUCACACGGGCACUGAGACACGGGCCCGACUCCUACGGGAGGCAGCAGUAAGGAAUAUUGGUCAAUGGACGAAAGUCUGAACCAGCCAUGCCGCGUGGAGGAUGAAGGCCCUCUGGGUUGUAAACUUCUUUUAUCUGGGACGAAAAAGGACCUUUCUAGGUCAACUGACGGUACCAGAGGAAUAAGCACCGGCUAACUCCGUGCCAGCCGCCGCAGUAAUAC